rnacentral:tRNA from 1 species
GCAUUGAUGGUCAGUGGUAAAAUGCCCGCCAGCCCGGGUUCGAUUCCCGGCCGAUGCA